GACAGAGGGUGCUAGCGUUAUUCGGAAUUACUGGGCGUAAAGGGCGCGUAGGCGGUUUUGCAAGUCGUUCAUUAAAGACCAAGUCUCAAGCUUGGAAGUGUGUUCGAUACUGCAUUACUGGAGUAUAGGAGAGGUAAGUGGAAUUUCUAGUGGAGAGGUAAAAUUCGUAGAUAUUAGAAGGAACACCGAGGGCGAAGGCAGCUUACUGGAAUAUUACUGACGCUGAGGCGCGAAAGCGUGGGGAGCAAACAGG
rnacentral:rRNA from 1 species